AUGGUCACCAGGCUCCUUGGCUGUGUGGUUCUUUGUUUUGUGAGAGCAGAAUACACAGAUGCUGGUGUCACCCAGACACCCAAGCAUGAGGUGACAGAGAAAGGAGAAGCAGUAACCCUGAGGUGUGAGAUAAUUUCGGGCCACACUGCACUUUUCUGGUAUAGACAGACUGUGGUAAGGGGACUGGAAGCACUGAUUUACUUUCGCUACCAGGCUCCUCUAGACAACUCAGGAAUGCCCAAGGAUCGAUUCUCCGCUGAGAUGCCUACUGCAUUAGUCUCCACUCUGAAGAUCCAACCUACAGAACCUGGGGACUCAGCUGUGUAUCUCUGUGCCAGCAGCUUAUCCACAGUGCUGCAGAAUCAUCUCCUCCUCAUGCAGAAACCUACAUGCUUCCUCUUCUCCAUCCAUUUCCUAGCAGUCGUCCUAGGCUCCCCCCAUUACAGGAAGGACUUCAUUUGA